ACAUCUUCCUUGGAAUCACUUAUGAGCACAAGGAUUUUCCAGGAAAACCUUAGUGAAGACUCUGCAACUCAGAAGAACUAAAUCGAUGUCUAAAUUCAAUCCACCCUCAGGUCACCAGGCAAUAGUGCUUAUUAUAUUCUGGAACUUAAUGCACUGACUCGAAAACUCAUUUGAAGGAACAGCCAAGGAUUUUCAGGUGCUUAGCCAAUUUAGGCUUUUCUAGUGUUCAGAAUACUUUGAAGAUCAACGAACAAAACAUCGUGUUACUGGUACACCAGACAAAGCAGAACUGAGUUUGGAGUUAGAGCCAAAGGAACGCACAGGUUUCUGAAGAAUUACGAUGGGACUUCAAAGCAGGGGCAAGGUUAGGAUUAUUUUAGAAAUGGUGUCAGAUAACUCUCUCUGAGUUAAAAUGAGUGUCCACUGGAAACUAAUGCAAUGCUGUUACGCUAACUGGAAUUAAACUAAAAAAGUUAAACAAUGAAAUGGGUAUCCAGUGUGUGCAUCAAGGAUUUAAAUGCAAGACAAUGCAAUUACAACAAUUAAAGAAUUCGUGAAUUAAAAAAACAAUUUUAAGUGGCAAAGUCAAAGAGUGACAGAAACUCGGAAGCAAUGGACAAAAAAAGCCUGAUUCAACAACAACAAGAAUUUUUUUUUUUAAAUUACGCCAAUGCUGAAAAGCUUAGAAAUCACUGCAAACCCACUUGUAGGGAUCUAGGCCAAGGAGAGGAUGAUGAAGGAGCCUAGAUUUGGAUCCAAGGAUAGUCGCAGUGGUUACAGUGUAGUUUUAUUGGGAGCCGUGGGGAACUGGUUAAAAUAUUAAGUGGUAAGGCCCUAAGUUUCUGGAGCUCCAUGUGUACCUCGUUUGGUGAAGUCACUGGCAGGUUAAUCGGGGGAUGGUUGGUGGGGGAGGUUGGGCCGGGCAGGAGAGCGGGCAGAACCGCCCACGCCCAUCCCCCUGAGACUCCGAGCACCUUUGAAACCGCCAGGUGCACCACUAGGUAGGCCUCAUUUGGGCCCGGAUGGAGGCGGUGCCUGAAGGGGCUGGGCCAGCAGGGUUGAACUAGAAAUGAGGGUGGGGGCUGGUCGGGGCCAGCCUUGCUGACUGUGGGAGCGUCCCGCAAGGAGGCCAGGCUAGUCCUACUGCCCCUCGGUGACCGCGGCGAGGUACAGGUACAGGGCCAGUCCCGGGAAAGGCCGGCCCUUUCAGAGAGGAGCUUUGGCCCUCUGACCCCGCGGAUGUCAGCGCUCAGGCGCUGCGGGGCUGGAAGAGGAACCCUAGGCGACAGGGCGUGAAAGAAGGCAACUGAAACACCCCACAGAUCAGACUAAUGCUUCAGGAGGCAGGAACGAAGAGGAACUUCAGCUGGGGGCUGGAUUGCAGGCACUGUCGCUGAGGGGAAAAGGGGUCUUGGAGCCAUUUUUCAAGACCAGGUGGUGAAUACCCGACAGUACUUGGAACAUGUGAAAGACUCCACAACAGGAAUGCAAGGUAGAGUGGUGAAGCUAUUCCCCAACCAUUUCCGAGUGACCUCUCGCCCUGAACCCCUCACGUAUAAGUACAACAUUGAUUACAUGCCAGAGGUUGAAGAGGGAAAAGUUCGUACAGAUCUGCUCUGCCAGCAUAAACACGUAAUUGAAGAGUGUCCCACAUUUGAUGGGAACUCUUUAUUACUGCCUCAUAAACUACAAAAGCAGGUGUAUCUCCGUGUUUGUUAGUAAAUCUUCAUAAUAUUCACUGCGGUUUCCACGAAAUCCAUUCUUCCAAUUUCUAGAAUUUCGAAGAUGAUGGAUUUGAAGCAAGUUGGUCGCAACUAUUACAACGAGAAUGAGGCCACGGAGUUCCUCAAUCAUAAAGUUUCAAGACCGCUUUCUUGGGGUAGGAAUACUCGUUUCCUCAAAUAUUGCUGGGACCACUGGAUAUCCACCUGGCCGUUCCUCACAGAAGAUACAAAAUUAACUCCAAUUUAUCCCCAAAAUUAACUAAAAAUAGACCUAAAUGUAAGCGUUAAAACUCUAUAAAAUUCCUAGAAGCAAAUCUAGGAGUAAAUUUUCUUGACUUUGGCUUAGAGAAAACCUUAUAAAAUAAAAUGCCAACAGAGAAGGGUUGACAGAAGGAAAACGUAAAUUGGACUUCACCAAAUUGAAAACUUUCUUUCUUUGAAGUGAAAAAAAAGGGGGGCGCCUGGGUGGCUCAGACGGUUAAGCGUCCGACUUCAACUCAGGUCACGAUCUC